rnacentral:misc_RNA from 1 species
CCAAUGGUGUCAUUCAACCACAUAUUCCCCUCUGCAAUCUGUUCAAUUAUGGCAAAAUAAUGUGAAUUGGCCUCAUCAUUCAUAACCAACCCAACCACCUCCAACAAUUUCUAACUGGCCAUUCUUCACUAAACUGGUAAACAAUUCUCUUUUGUUAGCUGCUGCAUCUCUCCACCAUCUCUCCAGAUAAGACAUUUCUUCCCAUAUGAACUUCCGCCGAACAUCCUUAGAAAGUGUUUCCACAAUUGUAUCGAGUAUGUGCCUAGAUUGCCUCUCAUAAUACUCAUCAACAGUCAAUUUCCACCCAGGAUCAUUAUGCGAAUGAGGCACCACAAAUACCUUCAACUUCUCAGUAUCCCACUCAUUUCCUCUAUAGCUCACUCUCCACCCUUGCUUCCAAGGCCCGCCAUCCACAUCCAAGAAUUCGAUCUUAUCAUACAAACCCUUUGUAGUUAUAUCCACCACAGCCCCCAAAACGGCACCUUUGUCGUUUUGGGGUUUUCGAGGGAUAGUCUUGCGAGGCUUCAGAACGCGAAAACUGGAUUUGGAUUUGGGUUUGAAGGGAGAGGAAAGAGGCUUAGGGAUGCCAAAGUGAAGGAAAGUGAUGAGAAGGAAGAGGAGAGAGAUCGUAAGAGCUAUAGUGAAGAAGUUAGUGAAUAGGAAGUUUAUCAGAGCCGUCCGCCGGCGAGACUUUCUUGAAGGAAGCUUUGAUUUGGCGGCGA